rnacentral:tRNA from 3 species
GCCCCGUUCGUCUAGAGGCCUAGGAUACCGGGUUCUCAGUCCGGUGACACGGGUUCAAAUCCCGUACGGGGUA